rnacentral:rRNA from 1 species
GAUGAACGCUGGCGGUGUGCCUAAUACAUGCAAGUCGAGCGAACAGACGAGGAGCUUACUCCUCUGACGUUAGCGGCGGACGGGUGAGUAACACGUGGAUAACCUACCUAUAAGACUGGGAUAACUUCGGGAAACCGGAGCUAAUACCGGAUAAAAUGUUGAACCGCAUGGUUCAACAGUGAAAGACGGUCUUGCUGUCACUUAUAGAUGGAUCCGCGUCGCAUUAGCUAGUUGGUAAGGUAACGGCUUACCAAGGCAACGAUGCGUAGCCGACCUGAGAGGGUGAUCGGCCACACUGGAACUGAGACACGGUCCAGACUCCUACGGGAGGCAGCAGUAGGGAAUCUUCCGCAAUGGGCGAAAGCCUGACGGAGCAACGCCGCGUGAGUGAAGAAGGUCUUCGGAUCGUAAAACUCUGUUAUUAGGGAAGAACAAAUGUGUAAGUACCUAUGCACGUCUUGACGGUACCUAAUCAGAAAGCCACGGCUAACUACGUG